rnacentral:SRP_RNA from 1 species
GCUUGGUGUGGUGGUGUGUGCCUGUAGUCCCAGCUACUUGGGAGGCUGAGGCUGGAGGAUAGCUUGAAUCCAGGAGUUCUGGGCUGUAGUGUGCUAUGAGGGUGUCCACACUGAGUUCGGCAUCAAUAUGGUGACCUCCUGGGAGCGGGGGCCCACCAGGUUGCCUAAGGAGGGGUGAACCAGCCUAGGUUGGAAGUGGGGCAGGUCAAAACUCCUGUGCUGCUCAGUAGUGGGAGCGUGCCUGUGAAUAGCCACUGUAGUCCAGCCCGGGCAACAUAGCAAGACCCCGUCUCU